UUCCAAUAAUAAUGUACCUACGUAGGUACCUAGAUUAUUUACUCAAUGAUUUAAUACAUUUAUGUAGUUUAUUUUUCCGAAUAUAUUUUAACAAAUUAGGAAACAUUCGUUUUAAAUUUUCUCGUCGAAUAUUAUAAAUAGGUAAUGUAGAUAAUGGCCAACAAAUGUUUUACAAAAUUAGCGGACUUUAAAUUGACGGUAAAAUAAAAAAAAAUCACCGCUUCAGGCAUGAUGGAACUAACGACCUUUCAGAACACCGGACCGAACGCUCUACCAACUGUACUGCCGAAGCCAACCCGUACCCCUAGUGUAAAUAUUUUCGACAGCGAAACGUGACGUACGCGUUUGCGUUAAGUGUCAUUUUGUAUGAGAUUUUUGACUUUCCAAAACGUCCCGCUUGGCGCGCUGUUCAAAAACCCAUACAAAAUGAGACUUAACGCAAACGCGUACGUCACGUUUCGAAAUCGAAUUUAUUUACACUAGGGGUACAGAACCGUGCGAAUGUUUAAGUAUAUUCCUUUUUGUAUAUACUCCUUAGGGACGUGUAUAGCGCAAGAAACAAAAUAACAAUAAAUUGUUAACCAAGGGAUGAAACGGUAACGGUACGGUGGGUUUGAUCGUGUAAGUAUAGGGAAUAGCGGAUAUAUGGACGGAUACAAAGUAGACUCCUAUUAAUUACCUAAACAUUAAUUCACUUACUGUCAACGCGAAUGCAAUGACAAUCGCAUCCUGGGACGCAAUGAUGCUGUCCAAACUCGACCGCUUCGUCUGAAAUCAACAACAAAAAGUUACAGCGUAUUUUGCAGAAAGGAAGGAGCAAUCAAAGAUAAAUAAAUAAAUAUUUGGGGACAAUCUUACACAGACCGACCUAGCCCCAAACUAAGCAAAGCUUGUGCUGUGGGUACUAGUCGACGAUAUACAUACGUAUAUAGAUAAAUACAUACUUAUAUACAAAGAAACACCCAUGACUCAGGAACGAAUAUUGGUGUUCAACACACAAAUAAAUGCCCUAGAUAUAGUACCUCAUAUGUUACUUUAGCGGGUUUUCUAAUAGUAAGACCUACAUUUUAUUUUUUCAAAUCUUUGUACUUUUAAUAGUAACCUAAAUUAAAUAUAAGGUAAACGUCCUAGUAUUUGACAGCUCGUGUAAUGCUUGACCCCCCCUAUUGUCAUCUCUGUUGCUUGGAAUUAAGUAGGUGGCAACUAGGGGCUUUUGGUUCAGUGUUUAUCUCUAGGAUAUUUACUUUACUGAAUGACGCAAAUAAAAUAAAAUAAAUAAAUACGUACGGUCUGUUGGUAACAAUAACAUAAUUGCGAUAUUCAGAUAAAUUCAACGGGAAGAGACAAAUGAACUACACCGCCUUGGAAUCCAACAACUAACUGUACCAAUACGUCCUGUUGCACAUUUAUUCAAACUUUGAUGUUUGAUUUCCAAGAAACCAAUUAUAAAAGCAGCCGAGUCAAACCAUUUUGGACUUUAUGGUACGGACCUAAGAUGACGCAAACAACACUAAGACGGGUCAACAGUGCUUGCAGUUUAGAAGAAAAACGCACCUUGGUUUUUACAGCUGCAUUUUAACUGACGUCAUCGCUAACUAGGCGUGACGGACGGUUGAUUUGUUUGUAAACAAUGUAGCAAAUUAAUUAAGUAAUUACCCAAAUGGGGAAGUUUUAAGGUUUAUGUAUAUCGGACAUAUCUGGAACUUAACUUUUUCAACACUUUCUGCAUUCUUGACGAGCAUAUACUUCUUAAAGAUACAUGUUACUAAACUUCUAGGUAUUAGAAAGAUUCUAAUAUGGGUUUAAGGUUAAGAUAUAUGUAUCUAAAGCGAGCAAAAAAAAAUUCCCAACGAUUUCAACACCUUAUAAUUUCUUAAUAAUUUGUUUGUGAUGUUAUAUCAAUUCUGUUUUGUUAUUAUGAUCGGAUCGUUAAGUAACAAAACUCACCAGAGGCGUUGUGUCUCACAAACUCGCGAGGCUUACAGAAAUUCAAGAUGCCUGAAUGACUUUUGCUACACCAGAAGAGGCAGUAAUGCUUUUACUUAUGCCCCGUCGUGCUGUCCCAGAUAUCGGUUGUAUGAUGGCCGUGUACACUUGUUCACUGCGGUUUAGUACUGAACGAACCAUCUUUGUUUCUCCAAGGAUACUUCUUACACGUCCUAAAAACUGUCUAAAGCUGACCUUUAUGGUUGAAUGAUUUCUGGUAAACUAUUUAUCAUAUAAAAGCAAUUAACAAGUGUCUUACAUCACACCUAAAGUUGCUUUGGCUUCAGUUGGUCGUUCCAAGAUACUUUAAAAAAAAUGCCUGCCCCCUGCGAACCAUGCAAAGACACGUGCAAAGAAGGAGCUGCUUGCAAGGACGACUGCUCUUGCGAGGACAACUGCUCUGACUGCUCAACCAAACCAGGUGGAUGCUGUUAACAUGAAAUGGGUCAUGGUGUCUUCUGCUUGUCCUUCGAUUUCAGCUGUUCACAGUAAUAAUAUUAGUUAAAUGUAUAAUAUUUAUUCCUGAAAUAAAGUUAGCGGUGCCCAUUUAA